AUUACGCUCUGUGACGGUUC
rnacentral:snRNA from 1 species